ACAGAUUCUCCCUGAUGGAGCCUUUCCUGAGAGUGACCUCACAUCAUGCUAGCCAGCAGCUCAACGUCACUCUGCAAGGAGGACGAUGCCAGGAGGAGGUGAUGUUCAAUGCAAGGCUCUCCAAUUACCGUCGUGGCCCUGGCUCAUGGCUGUGGCAAGAUCUGGCUCAGUGCAUAUUAUUCCAUGACUCUCCAGACCUCUGCAG
rnacentral:lncRNA from 1 species